rnacentral:rRNA from 1 species
GACGAACGCUGGCGGCGUGCCUAAUACAUGCAAGUAGAACGCAGUUGCGAACGGGUGAGUAACGCGUAGGUAACUGCCUCAUAGCGGGGGAUAACUAUUGGAAACGAUAGCUAAUACCGCUUACUGUGAGAUGUACCUGCGGUGUAUUAGCUAGUUGGUGAGGUAAAGGCCCACCAAGGCGAGGGUACAUAGCCGACCUGAGAGGGUGAACGGGCACACUGGGACUGAGACACGGCCCAGACUCCGUAGGGAGGGAGGAGUGGGGAAUGUUCGGCAAUGGGGGGAAGGCUGAACGAGCAACGGCGCGGGAGUGAAGAAGGUUUGCGGGUUGUAAAGGUCUGUUAGUGUGGAAGCGUUAACUAAAGAAUAAGGAACGGCUAACUACGUGCCAGCAGCCGCGGUAAUAC